GUCAUUCAGUCCUGUUUUGUUCUUCAAUGUAUUCUUUAUCAGGCCUUCAUCUGACGUUUUGUUACUCAAAAUGUGGCUCACACAUCGGGGUCUAAAACACUUAAUUUACAAUUUAUUGUCAUCGAUUGGAUUGUGUGUGUGUGUCCACACUGUCAUGUCUUUCAUUGUCUUUGUAGUCUGUGAUCAGUGUUAAGACAGAGUAGGUCACGUGACUAGAAUCAGGAAGUAAGCGCAGGUUUCAGCACAGUGUUGAAAGAGAACCCCGCUUGUUCUAUUCUCUCCUGCAGUUCGGCAAAACUACUACCUACAUUUUGUGUUAUACAAGGCAUCGUUGUUUCACCCUUUCCCUUGUUAUUAAACCUGGAGUCAACCUUCAA